UUUGAAUCCCAACAGGAAGUCAGUUAUUUUGAAUUUUCUCUGCAAAAUUUGUGUCGUUUUUGCCAUUUUCAGGGGUUGUACUUUAACGAACUCCUCCUAGAGAUUUAUUCAGAUCAACACCAAACUUGGUCAGUGUAAUCUAAAGGCCUGUGCGAUGUUAAAUUGCGAAGAUCUUGAGGUUUCGUUGAAGGGCGUGUCUGUGGCGGCCAUACAAAUUUCGAAGUUUCGCCAUGAGAAAGGAAGUUGCUAUAACUCAGACAUACAAUGUCCAAUCUGCCUCAAACUUCACAUGUUUGAUAUGACUCCUGACCUGAACAUAUCUACAUGCCCAUAUUCAGUUAUCGUUAUAGCGCCACCUGCUGGCAACAGGAAGUGACAUGUUUUACACUGUAACAAACUACUCCAAGAAAUUUUAUGACACUUUAUAAUUUUUUUUGGUGAGUCUAAUCUAAAGGCCUUUGCGAUGUUAAAUUGUGAACAUCUUGAGUUUUCAUUAAAGGGUGUGGCCAUGGCGCCAUGACAAAGUUCGAUGUCUCGCCAUGGGAAUAGAAGUUGUUGUAACUCAGGCAUAAGAUGUCCGAUCUUCCCCAAACUUCACAUGUUCGAAAAGAGUCUUGGCCUGAACACAUCUGAAGGUCAAUAUUCCACUAUAAUCAUAGCGCCACCUGCUGGCAACAGGAAAUGGCUUGUUUUACACUAACUUAAACAUGCAAUGUCCAAUCUGCACCAAACUUCAAAUAUUUGGAAAGAGUCAUGGCCUGAAGAUAUCUAAAGGCCAAUAUUCAGUUAUAAUCAUAGCGCCACCUGUUGGCAAUAGGACACGUCAUGCUUUAUACUAACUCAAACAUUCCAUGUUCAAUCUGCACUAAAUUUCAUAUGCUUGAUAAAAGUGCUGGACUGAAGAAAUCUACAUGCCAAAAUCCAGUUAUGGUCAUAGCGCCACCAGCUGGCAGCAGGAAGAUUGGCACAUAUAAAUGACUUUGACAUAUUUCUCUUAUAUUUACCACAUUAAACGCAUAUAUCUCGCCGUUCGCUGUUUUACAAAAGCCACCCGCUGGCGGUGAGCCCGGGUGCGAGGGCCCGUUCAUCGCUGCUUGCAGCUUUAAUUAUUAUUAUUCUUCUUCUUCUUCUUCUUCUUCUUCUUCUUCUCCAAAAUGAAUCGCAUUUUUGAGGGCCUAAACAUGCUCGAAAAGUCCUGAAACUUUGCACACGCGUCAUACCUGGUGAAAAUUUACGUCUGAUAUAGGUUUCAGAAGAGGGUGUGGCAAAAUGGCUCGACAGCGCCACCUACCGUAAAAAAAUCAACAGCCCUCGAGCUGUGUUUCACGUACAUGCACG
ensembl:lncRNA